GGGGUAUCUUUUUUGGUGGGUUCCAGUGUCUUCCUGUCAAUGAUUGUUCAGCAGUUAGUUGUGAUUCCGGUGCUCUCGCAAGAGGGAGUGAGCGCACGUCCUUCUACUCCGCCAUCUUGAACCAAUCUCCGAAAGAGGCUCUUCAACCUCCUUGGCUUACUCCUUAUUCUUCUAACCUUUCGUCUCCACAUUCUCCGCAGUUAUCAUUUUCUCAGAGUUUCCUCUGAUGUUGGUGUGGUGGUGGUGAUGGAGAGCUACCUGUCUGAGGAGUUGGUCGAUGCCUACUGAGACAGCUGUCUAUGCCUUCCACUUACACUGGAGGGCAGAGCAAGGAAAACAACAGCAAAAAUAAACAAAUGGGACUACAUCAAACUGAAAGUCUUUUGCACAGCAAAAGAAACUAUCAACAAAAUGAAAAGUCCACCUACUGAAUGGUAAAAGAUAUUUGCAAAUGAUGCAUCUGAUAAGGGGUUAAUAUCCAAAAUAUACAAAUAAUUCAUACAACUCAACAUCAAAGAAACAAAUAACCCAAUUUAAAAAUGAGCAGAGGAUCUGAAUAGACCUGUUUUCACAGAAAACAUACAGAUGGUCAACAAGCAUAUGAAAAGAUGCUCAACAUCACUAAUCAUCAGGGAAAUGCAAAUCAAAAACAUAAUGAGGUAUGACCUCACACCUGUCACAUGGCUAUUAU